rnacentral:misc_RNA from 1 species
AAGUCGUAACAAGGUUUCCGUAGGUGAACCUGCGGAAGGAUCAUUAUUGAGAUGAGUGUCCAGCUUGCUGGCUCUCACCCCCCCCCUCUCCCUCUUGUGAACAUUUAUUGUUUUAGUUUACAUACAAAAUAAAAACUUUCAACAACGGAUCUCUUGGCUCCG